rnacentral:rRNA from 1 species
AUUGAACGCUGGCGGCAUGCCUUACACAUGCAAGUCGAACGGCAGCGGGGGAGAAGCUUGCUUUUCCUGCCGGCGAGUGGCGAACGGGUGAGUAAUACAUCGGAACGUGCCCUGUAGUGGGGGAUAACUAGUCGAAAGAUUAGCUAAUACCGCAUACGACCUGAGGGUGAAAGUGGGGGACCGCAAGGCCUCAUGCUAUAGGAGCGGCCGAUGUCUGAUUAGCUAGUUGGUGGGGUAAAGGCCUACCAAGGCGACGAUCAGUAGCUGGUCUGAGAGGACGAUCAGCCACACGGGGACGGGGACACGGCCCAGACUCCUACGGGAGGCAGCAGUGGGGAAUUUUGGACAAUGGGCGAAAGCCUGAUCCAGCAAUGCCGCGUGUGUGAAGAAGGCCUUCGGGUUGUAAAGCACUUUUGUCCGGAAAGAAAUGGCUCUGGUUAAUACCUGGGGUCGAUGACGGUACCGGAAGAAUAAGGACCGGCUAACUACGUGCCAGCCGCCGCGGUAA